rnacentral:rRNA from 1 species
CCCGUUCCCAUUCCGAACACGAAGGUUAAGCCCUGUAACGCCGAUGGUACUAUGGCGGAGACGCCAUGGGAGAGUAGGUAGCUGCCGGAU